UGCUUAACACAUGCAAGUCGAACGAUGAUGCCCAGCUUGCUGGGCGGAUUAGUGGCGAACGGGUGAGUAAUACGUGAGUAACCUGCCCUUGACUCUGGGAUAAGCCUGGGAAACUGGGUCUAAUACUGGAUACUACCUCUUGCCGCAUGGUGGGUGGUGGAAAGGGUUUUACUGGUUUUGGAUGGGCUCACGGCCUAUCAGCUUGUUGGUGGGGUAAUGGCUCACCAAGGCGACGACGGGUAGCCGGCCUGAGAGGGUGACCGGCCACACUGGGACUGAGACACGGCCCAGACUCCUACGGGAGGCAGCAGUGGGGAAUAUUGCACAAUGGGCGGAAGCCUGAUGCAGCGACGCCGCGUGAGGGAUGACGGCCUUCGGGUUGUAAACCUCUUUCAGUAGGGAAGAAGCGAGAGUGACGGUACCUGCAGAAGAAGCGCCGGCUAACUACGUGCCAGCAGCCGCGGUAAUACGUAGGGCGCAAGCGUUGUCCGGAAUUAUUGGGCGUAAAGAGCUCGUAGGCGGUUUGUCGCGUCUGCUGUGAAAGCCCGGGGCUCAACCCCGGGUCUGCAGUGGGUACGGGCAGACUAGAGUGCAGUAGGGGAGACUGGAAUUCCUGGUGUAGCGGUGAAAUGCGCAGAUAUCAGGAGGAACACCGAUGGCGAAGGCAGGUCUCUGGGCUGUUACUGACGCUGAGGAGCGAAAGCAUGGGGAGCGAACAGGAUUAGAUACCCUGGUAGUCCAUGCCGUAAACGUUGGGCACUAGGUGUGGGGGACAUUCCACGUUUUCCGCGCCGUAGCUAACGCAUUAAGUGCCCCGCCUGGGGAGUACGGCCGCAAGGCUAAAACUCAAAGGAAUUGACGGGGGCCCGCACAAGCGGCGGAGCAUGCGGAUUAAUUCGAUGCAACGCGAAGAACCUUACCAAGGCUUGACAUUCACCGGACCGCCCCAGAGAUGGGGUUUCCCUUCGGGGCUGGUGGACAGGUGGUGCAUGGUUGUCGUCAGCUCGUGUCGUGAGAUGUUGGGUUAAGUCCCGCAACGAGCGCAACCCUCGUUCUAUGUUGCCAGCACGUGAUGGUGGGGACUCAUAGGAGACUGCCGGGGUCAACUCGGAGGAAGGUGGGGAUGACGUCAAAUCAUCAUGCCCCUUAUGUCUUGGGCUUCACGCAUGCUACAAUGGCCGGUACAAAGGGUUGCGAUACUGUGAGGUGGAGCUAAUCCCAAAAAGCCGGUCUCAGUUCGGAUUGAGGUCUGCAACUCGACCUCAUGAAGUCGGAGUCGCUAGUAAUCGCAGAUCAGCAACGCUGCGGUGAAUACGUUCCCGGGCCUUGUACACACCGCCCGUCAAGUCACGAAAGUUGGUAACACCCGAAGCCGGUGGCCUAACCCCUUGUGGGAGGGAGCCGUCGAAGGUGGGACUGGCGA
rnacentral:rRNA from 2 species